AAGAGAAAUCGAGGAGGGAAGCUGAGCGGGUAAUCCCCGCCGGUUCGCCGUCUCCUCCGUCACCAGUGCUUCCCCUGGAACCCGCCUUUGCGGGUGAAGGUAUUCUUCUGCUUCGGGAUCUCGUGUAUAUCCAUCACCUGAAUCGUCCGUUGCUUUUUGGCUUCGGCGGUCCCCAAUUGUGGCAGGAAAGCAAAAGAUUAAUCCUCUCUGUCGUUGCUAUGAUCGUCUGAGGGAGGGUCAGAUGUGAGAUGAGGCACUUACCGUUCUGUGCUUCCUGGUAGUUCUCAUGGAGCCGCCUCCUGGCAGAAGCGAGUCGCUCGGGGUCGAGCAAGCCGUCCUUUUCUUCUUUUGGCUUCUGCCAUCGAGAACCAAGUGAGAAGCAUGGAGUGUCAACCGACGUAUAGG
rnacentral:lncRNA from 1 species